ACUUUCAUUUUCCCAGAAAAACAUCUCCAGAAUGGGUGGGGCUUUCUUGAAGUUUCUCUUCAAGGAUGGGCAAUCCAAGGCCUUCCCUAUAGCAGUCCACAGAAACCGCACCCAACAACUCACAGUGGCUCAGAAAAGGACUAGACAUUAAGUAACUGGAAGAAACAGGGAGAUUCCUGGGGAAAACAAACUCUGUCAGUCACACAGUCAAUGUUUUUAUUAACUGGGGAUUUAGAGCCCUAGACCUGGGUAGGUCCUCUAUGGCUGAGCUAAGCCCAAACCCAAGCAAUAUGGUGACUGGUGUGUAACCUCAACUCUUGGGAGGCUGGGGCACAAAGAUUUCAGGUUUGAAGUCAAUCUUGGCUAUAAGGCAGAUAGACCCAUAAGGCCACAUUCACUUAUGCAAAUUAGGUGCACAUGCAUGUGUAAGGAAACCAAGUAAAUAGAAAGAUAAAUGUGGGAGACAGUUCUGACAAUGUCUCUCACCUGAAUCCAUGUGGUGUGAGUUCUUUGAGCAUUCAUUUUUAUGUUACUAUGUGACACACAGAGCAAAUACAAUGAUUUUUUAUAAAUAUGCACAGCUAAGUUGGAUGUAGUGGCAUGUACCUAUACCCUUAGCAUUUGAGAGAUUGAGGCAUGACGAUGGCCAUGAACUCAAGGACUUGAAAUAGUAAAGACCUGGGCAGUUGUGACUAUGGAUUAAGACUGUCUCAAAAAAAAUCCUUCACCAAGACAAGUAAUAACAAGGCCCCAUGAAUGUACUACAUCUGACUACUGUAAGUAUAUGUGACCCAAUGUCUAUAGCAGUGUAUGUAGCUUCAGUUUCUUUAUGCCCAGCCUACUUAACUCUAUAUAGGGAUCCCAUAGUAAGCAGACUUAUUUCUUUCUGUACUGCAAGAAUUAUGGCAGUGAGAUAGUCCUGAUUUUUGUCUAGUAAUAUGUUAUUUCAAGCCAUUCCUACUUGUAGUAGGAGAUGAGCUACCUCUCAUUAAACAAGUUAAUGGAAAGUUAAUGAAGGCAGGUAAUCUAAAUCAAUUCAAGUCGAGUGGCAGAGCACAUACUAAAACAAGAUCUGACGCAUCUCCUAUCGUUUAGCUUUCCUGCUUUCUUCCCUGUUAAAAACACUAGUAAGGAAUGGGAGUGGGGCUCCAUGAGCUAGUUUAGGGCUUAGAGUACUUGUUACUCUUGAUAACCCUGUGAAAUGCCAGUUCCAGAAGAUCUGAUACCCUGCUCUGACCACUGUGGGCACUUGUCACACAUGUGGUUCACUGGCAUAUGCAGCAAAACAAUCACACACAUAAAACAAGAUUAAAUCUUUUAAAAAAGGAAGAAAGAAGAUGAGGAGGUGGGGACUAAUGCUUCUGAAGAGGACCUAGGUUCAUUCCUAGCACCAACAUGGCAGCUCACAACCACAAAUGCAAACCCCAAGUGCCCAAAUUCUUCUCCUGGCUUCCAUAAAAACUGCAAGUCGUUCAUACAUACAUACUGGGUAACACACGAUGGAUGGAUGGAUGGAUGGAUGGAUGGAUGGAUGGAUGGACGGAUGGACGGACAGACGGACUGAUGGAAAGUGAAUGGGUGAACUGGAUGCUCCAGUUUGAACAUCACGAACAACAUGUCUGUCACCCCAGCUAUCUGGUGGCAGGAGGAUCACGAGUUAGAAGCCCCCUGUGCCCACAGGAAGACUGAGGACAUGACUCAGCACUACUGACACUGAGCCCCAUUCCCAGAACAUAAGCCAGAAAAGUUUAUUGAAUGGCAAGCAUCUGUAAGCCUGGGUCCAGCCAGCCUCGAGUAAGUUGAGCAGUACAAACAACAAGAGACUUUGCCUCAAUAACGUGGAAGGAGAGAAAUGACUCCUUAACAUUAUCCUUUGCUGUGUAGGAAAGGAACUUGGGUCCUCUGAAAUAUCAGCUAGUACAUAACUGCUGAGCCAUAUCUCCAGCCCUGUCUUGUGCAAAUUUCAGAGAUAUAAACAAUAAAAUAACAUUUACCUUAUUCUUUACAGUAUCAAUAUUCUUUACAGGUGUGACAGAAAUUAUUCUCACAGGAUUCUCCUCAUUUUCACUAACUCCAGUUUCUGAUGCCUCUGAACUCUGUUCCCUACUAGAAAGACAGACAAAUAAACAAACAUAACCAAAACCAAGGCCUUUUAAUUUCAGAAACGAAAUAAUCAAUUUUUAUUGACUGGUUAUAUUACUAUAUAUCCACUUGCCUGAGAGACCUCACUGGUGUUUUAGAAUGCAUUUUGGGAAGUGUGCUAUGUAAUUGUGGCAUUUAGGAUUGUAAUUCCAGUAUUCUAGAGGCUGAGGCAAGAGGCCUGCCACAAGCACAUAGCCUGACACAUAACAAGGCACUGGAUCAAAAAGCACUCUUUAAGCAAGGUAUAGAGAUGUGCACCUUGAAUCCCAGCACCUGAGAAGCAGACGCAGAGGCAGGUGAAUCUGAGGCCAACCUAGCCUAAUAUCAAGUUACGUGGUGAGACCCUGUCUCAGGAAACAUACACUACACUCUUGAGUCUCAUUAAAAAAAACCCUAAUCACAUGAAUAUUAUAAUACUUUUUUACAUAAGUCCAUUCUAUGAUCCAGUGCCUUGAAAAUAAGUUAAAAUGUUAAGCCAAGCAAGCAGUGAGCAAGAAAACAAGAUGUAUUCAGAGAAAAAUAAAUUGCCUUGAACGACUUCCGGCUGAAGGACUCAGCUCUGAAUUGGCGUUAAUAUUGCUUCCAGUCUCUGUGCCGGCGCUUCUAACAUAAGGCUUCCUUCCCGUUGCUGAUAAAGGCUUGUUCACUGUACCUAAUACUCCAGUAGGCUUUGGCUGAGG
rnacentral:lncRNA from 1 species